AUACAGAGGGUGCAAGCGUUAAUCGGAAUUACUGGGCGUAAAGCGUACGUAGGCGGUUUGAUAAGUCAGAUGUGAAAGCCCCGGGCUCAACCUGGGAACUGCAUUUGAAACUGUCAAACUAGAGUUUGGUAGAGGGUAGUAGAAUUCCUGGUGUAGCGGUGAAAUGCGUAGAUAUCAGGAGGAAUACCAGUGGCGAAGGCGGCUACCUGGACCAAAACUGACGCUGAGGUACGAAAGCGUGGGGAGCAAACAGGAUUAGAAACCCGGGUAGUCC
rnacentral:rRNA from 1 species